CUCGUGCUGUCUUUCAAAUAAAUAAAAUCUUAAAAAGAGAAGGGGUCAUCACAGAGAGCAGGCAGGCCACGGGUGGGGAACCAGAGCCUGUUUCUGAGCACAUGCUGGACCCACUUGUUCAUCUCACAGACCCCGUGCUAACAAAGGAGUCAUCAAACCGCGCUCGGGCUGCUCAGCCGGCACCCCUGCACUCACUGAGGCCUCCCAUAGCAGCUGACCCACUUGCCGACCCUGCUGACCAGAGCCUGCUGUCCCCACUCCGUCUGCGCCACCGUAAUUCAGGAGUGCUGCCCUUGACAGUUGGACUGAAGAGCUUCACCUGCUUCCCGGCUGCCUCACCCUCUCCCGAGAGCGUGGGCCCAAGGCAACAGGAUCCCAGUGGGUUGAUCUGCCGCUCCUCUGACCUUCGCGAAUGAAGAGAGACGUACCACACAAGCUCACAUGGGUUCUUCCCCAAAGGAAUGCUUUAUUGACAAAGUCCCCAUUAUCCACUUUAAGGAAAAGAUGAAUCAGUUACUACACUUGUGUCCUGCUUUCUCAGCACACCCCAUCCGUGAUUCUAACCCUGAAGAAAAAACACCAAAUGCUGUUCUUCCCAUGGCGCCAGCACAGACCGUAGUCCACCCAGGGCGUCUGAAGUGACCAGCGGACACUCGGCUUACCAGAGGACACCACGGUCUACUAGAGUGGACUCUGCGCGUGCACAGGUGCGCUCUCGGCCUGCUGGAAGCCAAUAAGGCACGGAGCUGCCCCUCCAGACACACCCCAUGCGUGGGGCCCUGACCACAAGGCUGCUGGGGUGUGGCAGCUUCAGAAUGGGAAUGAGAUCUUUGUAGCUCCUGAGAAAAGGCGAAAGCAGAGUCCCAGCCGACCCGAUGCAGGGCCCAUCUGCUUCCCACUUGUCCCCAGGGUGCGGCAAACGGGCAUGUUGGAGCCCAGCCGUCUGUGCAGGGUGUUGGCUUCUGCUUCUCCUACCCACCCACACCUCCACGCCCAGAGGCCCAGAGCCCUCUGGCUGGCAGGAGCUAUCCCAGUCCUUGAGGAGAGAGAAGCAAGCUUCAUACACUGGAAUGCAGUGCAUCUGCUGAACAAAACACACCAAGGGUCCAAGCAUGCUGCCCUUCGGGCUAGACGCAGAAGUCUACAUAACGCUCGAAACCCACUGAAGAACCCUUAUUUUCAUAUAAAAAACAUUAUAAACAAAUAAAGCAUAUUGCGAUGUAAGGCUUGUAUGUCAGCUUGAGUCCAAAGAAAUAGUGUUUUCUAAUGGAGACUAAAGCUGCUUUGCUUGGCUUAAAUUUUCGAAAAAUUCGCUGCAUUUAAAAAAUAAAGAAUUUGCUUUUGUUAAAGCUAGAUCAUUAGUGUAAGAAUUAGGCGCUGUUGAUAACCAGGUUCUUGCUGGAGGGUUUCAAAAAUUGGAGAGUUUUCUCAUUUAGCAUUUGAAAUAAAAACUGAAGAUCAGAGGACUUUCUGGACGAAUCUUUCUUCCGCAGAUUCCUUCUAUAACUCACGAAAGGGGAGGCUGAGGAAAUACCACUUAUUUUAUGCUUAUCACUCUCCGGUUCCUUCCAUGUUCUCGCGAACUAACAAGACCGCCAGAGGGCCCACUGUCCUGUCUACUCCCUGCACCCCAGGAAGGACGGCACAGUGGUUUGCAUCUACCAACUUCAGUGGAAAGCAUCUGCGUACAAGACCGCGUUCUGUAGAACUCAUGCGCACACAGCAGCCACGUAUCCAUGGGAAUGGCAGGACCCUCCUCAAAGCCAGCUCGGUGCAUCCACCCGAGGUCUGACGGGCUGCUCCGCUACAGCGUCGCGGCUGUGACGAUGAGGGUGGGCUUGCACUUCUCCAUGGCAGGGCAAAGCUGGGAUGGG